rnacentral:rRNA from 1 species
GACGUAGGGCGCGAGCGUUGUCCGGAUUUAUUGGGCGUAAAGAGCUCGUAGGCGGUUUGUCGCGUCGGGAGUGAAAACACCGGGCUUAACUCGGUGCUUGCUUUCGAUACGGGCAGACUAGAGUGCGGUAGGGGAGACUGGAAUUCCUGGUGUAGCGGUGAAAUGCGCAGAUAUCAAGAGGAACACCUGAGGUGAAGACGGGUUGCUGGGCUGACACUGACGCUGAGGCGCGAAAGCCAGGGAGCAAACGGG